rnacentral:lncRNA from 1 species
GUCUUGAUUUUGUCUUUGAUGUUCUUUUGGUUUCUUUGGUUUUGUAUUUUUAUUAACAUGCUAUUGGUGUGGUGUGUGUGCACUCACAUAUGUCUGGAUAUCGGAAGACAACCAGGAAGAGUCUGUUCUGUCCUCCUCUGCUGGUUCUAGGUAUCAUGCUCUGUUGGUUCUAGGUAUCAUGCUCUGGCUUGGGGCAAGUGUCUUUCCAGGACAAGCCAUCUUGCCAGCCUUUGAACAGGUUUUACAUGUUCUUAAACUACUAGUUUUUUAAGUUUUGUUUGAAUGCUUAUGUCAACUGAAAUAAAGGGACUUUAUUUUUCUGGUAGGUAGCAAUUAAAAUACAGUAGAAGUUGAUUUGUGUUUCAUAUUAAAAUGGAUGAUUAACCUUAUUGGCUGUGUGAGGUGUGGAUACUGAAGAGGACUAUUGGGAGUUACUUGACUAAGCUCAUGUUGUAGCUUGGUUAACUUUAUUCCUGUUACCUGUACAUUCUGUACAGCCAGUGGUUUGGGGGGAAGGUUGAGUUAUUUGUACAGCAAAUGGUUUUGGGGGAAGGUUGAGUUAUUUGAACAUACAGUGUUUGAAAUGUACCAAGACUAGAUGCAUGAAUGUCUGUGUAGACUACUUCGCCAGGUGCACUAGACCCAGAAAACCACAUUCUGUCCCAGUUAAUUUGCUUUGUGGCAUGAAGCUGUGUGAUGGAAUGUUAAUGUCAGCAACCUCUUUAUUUACGCACUAAGGCAAAAGGAGUAGUAAUUAACACUUUGACACUCCCCCAUCGAUGUGUAAUUGACUGUUUCAAAGGAGCACUGGUUCAUAAGCUAUUGCAUGCAUUAAAACUGCGUUUUCUAUAUUGCAGCAUUUUAAGACAAGGGUCAGUGACAAUGCAGAAAUUGCUCAAUGAUGCACAUUUUUUUAUUACUGCAUUAAGGUUUUGACAUAUUAGUAAUGAAUAAAUGUUUCCAUAAAAUUAGAUUUUUUAUAACUUUAAAAUUGAAAUACGAUGGAGAGCCCUGAGCCUUCCUCUGGGAAGGGAGCCCAGUUCAUGAACCAAAGCGCCGCUGCCUUUAGAUUUGUAACUCAGGCUUCCCCUGCAUAAUAGUUUGCUUUUUCAGAGCAGGCAUCCUAAAGACUGUACGUUUGGGUCCUUAUUUAAAAGUAAUGGCUAUAAAUGUGGUUUUUAGGCUGAAAUAAAUGAUUUUAUGCAGUUCAUUCCCAGGAAUAAUUUUCAUUCCUUUGAUAUAUUUUCAUUUAUAGUAGGGGUCCUGCACAAGAGUAUCAUUAAACUAUUUUUAAUGCUAUUGGUGUGGGUGUGUGUGCACUCACAUAUGUAUGGAUAUCAGAGUAUUUUUAGGGACUAGAGAGAUGUCUCAGUAAGUAAAGGUACUUGUGCAAGUAUGAGAACUAGCGUCAGAUUGCAGCAGCCCUGGAAAAGCUGGGUGAGUCUUUGUUAUCCAGUGCUGGUCUUGCAGAACAGGCAGAUCUCAAGGUCUGCAGGCGAGGCAGGCUAACUGAAUGCUGGGAUCCAGGUUCAGUGAGAGCCCUUUCUCAAGCGAGUGGAGAAGGGAUAGCAGAGCCUACAGCUUUACCCACUGUCUCCAUGAGCACACACACCUGUAUCUGUGCGUGCCAUUUUUAAUCAGACCCUCAGAAUUUGAGAAGUUAUAUUGUUUUUUCAUAAUCAGAGGACUUUAUGCACAUAUAACUGAGAAUGCUAAGGGAUUUUUGAGAAUUUUUUAAUAUUACUUGAUAGGAUCAAAUUCCUAGCUGCUAGUUUACUAUGCCAACUAGAAAAGAAAUUCCUUAAUUUGCCUUUUGUUUUUGAACAUCUUCAACUAGAAAUCUGCUUUUUUAUAGAUGCUUUAAGAGAAAUGCUAAUGUUAUAAGUAUUACAUUCCACAGGUGGCAUCAGUUUGUCAAAACAUUUUUUUUUAAUUAACAAUGACAACUUGGGCCAGUUGUAUCAUUAUCUUGUGUCAACCAAAUUGCCCUAACAUGUCUACAUGUAAUCUGGUGUUACCCAGUUCUACCUUCUUGCUUCAGAAAGUUAAUCACCAUCUGAUUUGCAUUUGCUAAUUAGGGUUAAUGUGCACUAAUUGAUUUUUUUUGAUGCUUGUAAAUUAACAUUAAACUCAGCAAUACUUACUUGUGUACCUCAUUCAUUUGAGUUAUGAUCAUGUUUUUGUUGAAUCUGUGCCAAAUCAGAAGCCUGUAUCGCAAUUACAGCUAAUUAACAGAUGAUCGUGUCCUGUAUUAACAGGCUUCCCUAGUCUUCCACUAAUACAUGAAUGCUAUGUCAUUUUAUUCAUGUGUGUUUAAAUAAUUUAUAAUACACUUGGAAUAAUUCUGCUUUUUAAAACUUGUUUUGAUAAUACAGUACUGUCAAAACAAGUACAUAAUAUUCUGCUGUAACUCCCUGCUUACAGCCAGCUAAAGAUCCAAAUAGCAAACACCUUCAAUCCAGCAUUCGGGAGGCAGAGGCAGGCAGAUCUCUGUGAGUUUGAGGCCAGCCUGCUCUGCAUGGCUCAUUCCAGGACAGCCAGGACUAUGUAGAGAGCCCCUGUC